rfam:Pteropus alecto contig17412, whole genome shotgun sequence.
AUCUAUGGCCAUGCCACCCUGAACAAGCCCAACCCUGUCUGAUCUCGGAAGCUAAGCAUGAUUGGGCCUGGUUAGUGCUUGGAUGGGAGACCACCUAGGAAGACCAGGUGCUGUAGGUG